rnacentral:rRNA from 1 species
GGUGAACGCUGGCGGCGUGCUUAAGACAUGCAAGUCGAACGGCAGUCUUCGGACUGUAGUGGCGCACGGGUGAGUAACGCGUAACUGACCUACCCCCAAGUCGCGGAUAACGAUUCGAAAGAAUCGCUAAUACGUGAUGUGCUGUCAGAUUGUGUUCUGCCAGUAAAGAUUGAUUGCUUUGGGAUGGGGUUGCGUUCCAUCAGCUAGUUGGUGGGGUAAAGGCCCACCAAGGCGACGACGGAUAGCCGGCCUGAGAGGGUGGCCGGCCACAGGGGCACUGAGACACGGGUCCCACUCCUACGGGAGGCAGCAGUCAGGAAUCUUCCACAAUGGGCGAAAGCCUGAUGGAGCGACGCCGCGUGAGGGAUGAAGGUCUUCGGAUCGUAAACCUCUGAAUCAGGGACGAAAGACACUUCGGUGGGAUGACGGUACCUGAGUAAUAGCACCGGCUAACUCCGUGCCAGCAGCCGCCGUAACAC